GCUCAGGAUGAACGCUAGCUACAGGCUUAACACAUGCAAGUCGAGGGGCAGCAUGGUCUUAGCUUGCUAAGGCUGAUGGCGACCGGCGCACGGGUGAGUAACACGUAUCCAACCUGCCGUCUACUCUUGGCCAGCCUUCUGAAAGGAAGAUUAAUCCAGGAUGGCAUCAUGAGUUCACAUGUCCGCAUGAUUAAAGGUAUUUUCCGGUAGACGAUGGGGAUGCGUUCCAUUAGAUAGUAGGCGGGGUAACGGCCCACCUAGUCAACGAUGGAUAGGGGUUCUGAGAGGAAGGUCCCCCACAUUGGAACUGAGACACGGUCCAAACUCCUACGGGAGGCAGCAGUGAGGAAUAUUGGUCAAUGGGCGAUGGCCUGAACCAGC
rnacentral:rRNA from 1 species